CCUACGGGUGGCUGCAGUGGGGAAUAUUGCACAAUGGGCGCAAGCCCGAUGCAGCCAUGCCGCGUGUGUGAAGAAGGCCUUCGGGUUGUAAAGCACUUUCAGCGGGGAGGAAGGCGUUAAGGUUAAUAACCUUGUCGAUUGACGUUACCCGCAGAAGAAGCACCGGCUAACUCCGUGCCAGCAGCCGCGGUAAUACGGAGGGUGCAAGCGUUAAUCGGAAUUACUGGGCGUAAAGCGCACGCAGGCGGUCUGUCAAGUCGGAUGUGAAAUCCCCGGGCUCAACCUGGGAACUGCAUUCGAAACUGGCAGGCCAGAGUCUUGUAGAGGGGGGUAGAAUUCCAGGUGUAGCGGUGAAAUGCGUAGAGAUCUGGAGGAAUACCGGUGGCGAAGGCGGCCCCCUGGACAAAGACUGACGCUCAGGUGCGAAAGCGUGGGGAGCAAACAGGAUUAGAUACCCCGGUAGUC
rnacentral:rRNA from 1 species